AUUGAAUUUAUUAACAGCAUUGUCGAAAAGCGGUCGAUAACAAUUUCAGAAGGAGAUUGUGCAAAAUAUAGAGCAAAGUUUUGUGCAACUCUCUUGUAUGCACGCGAUUCACCUUUUUUGUAAAUAUUAUUUAAAUUUUCACCAUGGUGUUUGUUUUGUAUGCAAUAUGUGGAUGAUAUUAUGUGGAUGAUAUUAUGUGGACGAUACCCUCAUUUGAUAUUAUGUGGUUGAUAUUUUGUAA
rnacentral:pre_miRNA from 1 species